GGGUUGUGAGGUUAAGCGACUAAGCGUACACGGUGGAUGCCCUGGCAGUCAGAGGCGAUGAAGGGCGUGCUAAUCUGCGAUAAGCGCCGGUAAGGUGAUAUGAACCGUUAUAACCGGCGAUACCCGAAUGGGGAAACCCAGUGUGACUCGUCACACUAUCAUUAACUGAAUCCAUAGGUUAAUGAGGCGAACCGGGGGAACUGAAACAUCUAAGUACCCCGAGGAAAAGAAAUCAACCGAGAUUCCCCCAGUAGCGGCGAGCGAACGGGGAGGAGCCCAGAGCCUGAAUCAGCAUGUGUGUUAGUGGAAGCGUCUGGAAAGGCGCGCGAUACAGGGUGACAGCCCCGUACACAAAAGCGCAUGUGCUGUGAGCUCGAUGAGUAGGGCGGGACACGUGGUAUCCUGUCUGAAUAUGGGGGGACCAUCCUCCAAGGCUAAAUACUCCUGACUGACCGAUAGUGAACCAGUACCGUGAGGGAAAGGCGAAAAGAACCCCGGCGAGGGGAGUGAAAAAGAACCUGAAACCGUGUACGUACAAGCAGUGGGAGCGGGCGUUAAGUUGCAGGGUAUAGACCCGAAACCCGGUGAUCUAGCCAUGGGCAGGUUGAAGGUUGGGUAACACUAACUGGAGGACCGAACCGACUAAUGUUGAAAAAUUAGCGGAUGACCUGUGGCUGGGGGUGAAAGGCCAAUCAAACCGGGAGAUAGCUGGUUCUCCCCGAAAGCUAUUUAGGUAGCGCCUCGUGAAUUCAUCUCCGGGGGUAGAGCACUGUUUCGGCUAGGGGGCCAUCCCGGCUUACCAACCCGAUGCAAACUGCGAAUACCGGAGAAUGUUAUCACGGGAGACACACGGCGGGUGCUAACGUCCGUCGUGAAGAGGGAAACAACCCAGACCGCCAGCUAAGGUCCCAAAGUCAUGGUUAAGUGGGAAACGAUGUGGGAAGGCCCAGACAGCCAGGAUGUUGGCUUAGAAGCAGCCAUCAUUUAAAGAAAGCGUAAUAGCUCACUGGUCGAGUCGGCCUGCGCGGAAGAUGUAACGGGGCUAAACCAUGCACCGAAGCUGCGGCAGCGA
rnacentral:rRNA from 1 species